UACGUAGGGUGCAAGCGUUAAUCGGAAUUACUGGGCGUAAAGCGUGCGCAGGCGGUUGUGCAAGACCGAUGUGAAAUCCCCGGGCUUAACCUGGGAAUGGCAUUGGUGACUGCACGGCUAGAGUGUGUCAGAGGGGGGUAGAAUUCCACGUGUAGCAGUGAAAUGCGUAGAGAUGCGGAGGAACACCGAUGGCGAAGGCAGCCCCCUGGGCUGACACUGACGCUCAGGCACGAAAGCGUGGGGAGCAAACAGG
rnacentral:rRNA from 1 species